rnacentral:rRNA from 1 species
UGUGUAAGUAUAAAUAAUUUUACUUUGAAACUGCGAAUGGCUCAUUAUAUCAGUUAUAGUUUAUUAGAAAUACUUUACUACUUGGAUAACCGUAGUAAUUCUAGGGCUAAUACAUGACUAAAUCCUCAACUUCGGAAGAGGUGUGUUUAUUAGUAUGAAAACCAUAUAUCUUCGGAUAUAAUAGUGAGUAAUAAUAACCUUUCGUAUCGUAUGUCGUAAGAUAACGAUAGUUCUUUCAAGUUUCUGCCCUAUCAGCUUUCGAUGGUAGUAUAUGGGACUACCAUG